UUUGGCUAAUAUCACUUUAAAGAGUGCUAUGACUCCUGUUGCAAACACAACCAGGAGAAUAAUUUACUUGGCCAAGUAGCAGAAACGAUGAAAUCAAAUGCCACAGGAUUAAAUGAAGUGUCAGGUGAUCAGUACAGUAGUUUCAGCUGAUAGUUUGAAAGGGGCAUCUAUUGGGGCAUCACGACUUUCUGAUGUUACCACUCUUGCUGUUGGAUAUAUGUUUAUAUUUUUUAUGGUCUUUUUCUAUCCUGGAGUUGUUGCUUUAAUUCGGUACACUAGAGGAGAACAUUUGACAUUGGGGAGAUUUUAUGGAAUUGCAUCCAUUGCAUAAACUAUUCCUUCCCUAUUCAGGCAAUUUGUGGCAGCAAUGAGACAUCUGAUGACUAUGAUCAAGGUUGCUUUUCUUCUUGUAAUUGAACUUGGGGUCUUCCCUUUGAUGUGUGGAUGGUGGCUGGAUGUUUGUACUAUAAAGUACACUAGAGGAGAACCUUUGACAUUGGCUUUUCUUCUUGCUAUUCUUUGUGUAAUAUUUUUGUUUAACAACACCAUUCUUUUGUUUGGCAGUCUGUCAGAUCCAUUUACUGAAAUUCCUGCUGACAUGCUUCUCUUUCAAAUCUGCAUUCCUUUUGCUAUUUCUUAGGUUUGUGUCUGGAGCAGAUUGAAAAGCAUGAGGUGAUCAAAGUGUAUCCCCAUUGUCAAUUUAGGGUCCUUUGCUCUAUGGGAUUUGAGGUGCAAUGACAGCAGUGGCAAAAAACUUUGUCUACAAUCAAUUGCUAUGGUGCAUGAGGCGCACAUUUCUCCUUGUCAAAGGCGGGGUAGACGUAGAAAGUCAUCAAUAAGCCCUGAUGAUGCCGAUUGAUGCCGAUUGAUGCCCUGAUAUAUUCUAAAGAGACUGAUGCCGAUUGAUGCAAAUUGCAGUCAUCAAUAAGCCCUGAUGCAGCUCACAUAUUAAGCGGCUCUAGUGAUGGGAAUGCUUACAUAUGGCAGAUAAGGAAACCUCUUGCAGAUCCCAUUAUACUGAAUAGUCAUGAAGGAGAAGUUACAGCAGUAGAUUGAAAACUGAGCAGGAGAAACUGGAGAAGCUUGCCCGAAAGAUUGUUGAGAGAGUUGGUAGAUCGAGCUACACUCAACAAGAAAUUGAUGAAGUAAGAGACGUAUGGGCCGACUUCUUUGUUGAUGUAUGGUUAAGUAUGUAAAUUGAACAAAUUGAUAUUAGCUUUUGAUAAUGUUAACUUGUAUUAUUAAUUAGUAUCAAAUUGUGAGAUUUAUUACUU